UCAUGAUCACAAUUAAUGAUCUUUCUUGUUUUUUGAAAAUAUAAAAGCAUGUAUCAUUUUCAAUUUGAUGUUCAGUUAAUCAAACGAAAUCGUUGUUGCGACUUGAUAGAUGCAAUUGAAGUGCAAGCAAAAAUCAUUUGAAAUUAUAUUUAAAAAGAAAACUAAGACCUACAGGUCAUACAAUCUACAAUGGUAAAAUUGUUUCGAUUGCUUAGGCCUGAAGAAGACGUAAGUCAAGGUACUAAAGCUAAAGAUCCGUAUGCACAAGCAUCACCUUGGGACCAUGUUUCUCCAAGUUACAAGUCCUGCGUCUCUCAGUAUAUUUCUACAUGUAAAACAGAGGAUGCCGUGUGGAAGCUUGCUGGCAAAGCAAUUAAUCCUACAGGAAAUAGAAAAAUAAUAUCAAUAGAUGUUGACCUAUUAAAACAGCUGGUUCCAGAUUUUGAAUACAUUGAUCUUACGGAUCCUGCCACUCGUGAAUCAUGUAUUCCGGAGGAAGAUGAUUUUGCCAGGAACUGUGCAAGGAAAUGUGAAGAAAUACUUUUACAAAUACCAGUGAUACCGGGACGAGAGCCCGUCAUUCCAGCGAAAUGCAUAUCUGUGAUAGGUUUUAUUUGAACGCUCAUUACCACAAAGUGCAAAGGUUUAAAACAAUUCAGAGAAAUUAAUUGCUAUAUGUUAUUUAACAACAAAAGAAGAAUUUAUUUUGUUGUACAGCGGAGUUUAUUAUCCAUUAAAACUAUCAGCAGAAUGUAUAAUUGGAAUAGGUGAAUUUGAGAUCUAGUCUUGACAUUAAAACUCGUUAUGUGUAAGAAUAAUUUACUAUAUUUUGGAAUGGUCGUACAUACUUUAUCAGAAAGACAUAAAUGUAAAAUUUAAUCAUCACUACUUUUUAUGUUAUUGUUUUAAUGAAUAACCACAGUUAUUAUCAUAUAGAGGAUAUUUAUUUGAUUCAGUGUAAGACGAUAUGCAGUUUUUUUUUCAAGAGUGACGUAGUCUCGCGUGAAACUUUAAGAGAAUGUGUUCACGAGUGAACGAUAGUUUGAUCUUACAUGUAAACCAAACACAUGUACUUUUCAUUUAUCUGUGAUUAAUGAAUGGACAAGUUUGACUCGUCUUGAUUCUUUUAUAGGACCCCAUAGUAAAUAAGUUCCCUCAUGUACUAUUUGAAAUUGCUACUUAAGCUUAUUUUGGAAAAAAAUAAAUUAUUCUAGUUA
rnacentral:lncRNA from 1 species